CCUACGGGGGGCAGCAGUGGGGAAUAUUGGACAAUGGGCGCAAGCCUGAUCCAGCCAUGCCGCGUGAGUGAUGAAGGCCUUAGGGUUGUAAAGCUCUUUUACCAGGGAAGAUAAUGACGGUACCUGGAGAAUAAGCCCCGGCUAACUUCGUGCCAGCAGCCGCGGUAAUACGAAGGGGGCUAGCGUUGCUCGGAAUCACUGGGCGUAAAGCGCACGUAGGUGGGUCAUUUAGUCAGGGGUGAAAUCCUGGAGCUCAACUCCAGAACUGCCUUUGAUACUGAUGAUCUUCGAGUCCGGGAGAGGUGGGUGGAACUGCGAGUGUAGAGGUGAAAUUCGUAGAUAUUCGCAAGAACACCAGUGGCGAAGGCGGCUCACUGGCCCGGUACUGACACUGAGGUGCGAAAGCGUGGGGAGCAAACAGGAUUAGAUACCCCUGUAGUC
rnacentral:rRNA from 1 species